rnacentral:rRNA from 1 species
AGUGAACGCUGGCGGUAGGCCUAACACAUGCAAGUCGAACGGCAGCACAGAGGAGCUUGCUCCUUGGGUGGCGAGUGGCGGACGGGUGAGGAAUACAUCGGAAUCUACUCUGUCGUGGGGGGUAACGUAGGGAAACUUACGCUAAUACCGCAUACGACCUACGGGUGAAAGCAGGGGACCUUCAGGCCUUGCGCGAUUGGAUAUGCCCAGGUGUGAUUAGCUAGUUGGUGAGGUAAUGGCUCACCAAGGCGACGAUCCCUAGCUGGGCUGAGAGGAUGAGCAGCCACACUGGAACUGAGACACGGUCCAGACUCCUACGGGAGGCAGCAGUGGGGAAUAUUGCACAAUGGGGGAAACCCUGAUGCAGCCAUGCCGCGUGUGUGAAGAAGGCCUUAUGGUUGUAAAGCACUUUAAGCGAGGAGGAGGCUACUGAGACUAAUACUCUUGGAUAGUGGACGUUACUCGCAGAAUAAGCACCGGCUAACUCUGUGCCAGCAGCCGCGGUAA